rnacentral:rRNA from 1 species
GAUGAACGCUGACGGCGUGCCUAAUACAUGCAAGUCGAGCGAACAGACGAGGAGCUUGCUCCUUUGACGUUAGCGGCGGACGGGUGAGUAACACGUGGGUAACCUACCUAUAAGACUGGGAUAACUUCGGGAAACCGGAGCUAAUACCGGAUAAUAUUUCGAACCGCAUGGUUCGAUAGUGAAAGAUGGCUUUGCUAUCACUUAUAGAUGGACCUGCGCCGUAUUAGCUAGUUGGUAAGGUAACGGCUUACCAAGGCAACGAUACGUAGCCGACCUGAGAGGGUGAUCGGCCACACUGGAACUGAGACACGGUCCAGACUCCUACGGGAGGCAGCAGUAGGGAAUCUUCCGCAAUGGGCGAAAGCCUGACGGAGCAACGCCGCGUGAGUGAUGAAGGUCUUCGGAUCGUAAAACUCUGUUAUUAGGGAAGAACAAACGUGUAAGUAACUGUGCACGUCUUGACGGUACCUAAUCAGAAAGCCACGGCUAACUACGUG